rnacentral:rRNA from 1 species
GUGAAGAUGCAGGUUACCCGCGACAGGACGGAAAGACCCCAUGGAGCUUUACUGUAGUUUGAUAUUGAGUGUCUGUACCGCAUGUACAGGAUAGGUAGGAGCCGUAGAAGUCGGGACGCCAGUUUCGACUGAGGCGCUGGUGGGAUACUACCCUUGCGUUAUGGCCACUCUAACCCGCACCACUGAUCGUGGUGGGAGACAGUGUCAGAUGGGCAGUUUGACUGGGGCGGUCGCCUCCUAAAAGGUAACGGAGGCGCCCAAAGGUUCCCUCAGAAUGGUUGGAAAUCAUUCGCAGAGUGUAAAGGCAGAAGGGAGCUUGACUGCGAGAGCUACAACUCGAGCAGGGACGAAAGUCGGGCUUAGUGAUCCGGUGGUUCCGCAUGGAAGGGCCAUCGCUCAACGGAUAAAAGGUACUCCGGGGAUAACAGGCUGAUACCGCCCAAGAGUUCAUAUCGACGGCGGUGUUUGGCACCUCGAUGUCGGCUCAUCACAUCCUGGG